AGAAGUGUCUCGAUGACAUCUUAUGGCAGAGACAAGAGAAAAGACGAUAGCUCCAGCCCUCCACAAGAUGCAUCCAUCACACAGUGAUGCAGAUCAGUACUGUGAAGUUUCCCUGAUGCCGUGGAGGACUGGCAUGAGAGGGGUAAGAGGUCCGAGUGAGGCGGUGAUGGUUCCAUGCUGGUGAUGGUCCGUGGUAUCCGGUAACUGUGGCAGGAACAGAAGUGAGCAUGAGCUGUGGAGGAAGAGCUGCAGAGAAAACUGGCGUCCAAAUGAAGCAGCUUGAUUGCAAACAGGUGUGGACUGCAGGCUGUAAUGCAAUGACUCCGCCCAGAGGUGGAACCACCAGCUCUAUGGAAAAACCCCGCACUCACCCGGACAGUGACACACGGAUACAUCCAACCACUGCAGAGUCAUCAUAAAACUUCUGAAGAUGGCAAACUCAACACGAACAAUUUAUAAAAGACUCCACAAAGCUGGGUGGGACAGGCCUUGAGGACACAGCACUCAUCUGGUCUGGUCCAGCAGACGUGUUUGACUGGAGUCUUUGACUCUGGUCACGAGUGAAAGUGAUGGUGGAGGAGAGGCGGCGAUGGUGCAAUGUGGUGAGGCAGGGAGAGAGACUGCAGGCUGGCUACAGGUAAGUCAGCAGGGGGGUGAGCGUUCACUGCAGUGUGGAAUCUGUUGAAAAACACAUUCAAGUGUCUCGCUCUGUCCUCACUGCCCCCAGCUCCUCUGUUGUUGGAUGGCUUGAAUCCAGUGGUUGUCUUCAUGCCACAACUCUCUCACGCUGAUCUUGCCCUUCAGUAACACCUGAACCGUUCUAGCCUCGUCUCUACUGCCCGCUCUGAACGCCCUCUUCUUGUUAUUGAGGAGAGCUUUGAUAUCCUUAGUCACCCACAGCUUGUUAUGUGGGUAACAAAUGAUGUCCGUGCUGGGACAAUGGAGCUCGUGCUGAAGGUUAUGUAGUGAGUGACACACUCAGUAAGCCCACUGGUGUCCUCACCGUGAGGCUCACACACUGUCUCCCAGUCUGUCACCUCAGAACAACCCUGUAGUUCCACUAAAGCCUCCUCCGACCACCUACUACUGUACUUCUAGAGGUCACAGCUUCCCUCUUCACAACAGGCACAUAGCAGUGGGUGAAACAGGGAUUUAUAUAAAAGCUAUGAUGUAUUUGUAUUCUGAUGUAUUUACCACCCCGUCGUAGAUCAAUCAGCGGUAUGCUGAACUCUCAUUGGUAGACCCUUAAAUUGUUGUCAUGAAGUUCAGCCUGGAUAUCUUAAAAAGAAGGAAACCGAACUUCUUUUCAAGCAUUUAAGACUAACAGGACCUGGACCUUUUUAGCGCCCUCUGUGGUUGGAUUGUGGAAGUGAAACAGAGCCACAGCCUGCGCACACACAGUUUAACACAUCAGUAACUGCACAACAUGCAGAGCAGGAGUGAACAUGCUGCAACACUUCAACCUGAUCAUAAGUGUGUGUGUGUGUGUGUGUGUGUGUGUGUGUGUGUGUGUGUGUGUGUGUGUGUGUGUGUGCAGACAGUGAGCAAGAAGACGAUGGUCUCCCUGAGGAUGGUGUGAGGAUGAGGAGAGGACAGAUUUCUUACAUUUCAAUUCUUUACAGUUUUUGUCCUUCGUGCUUUUGAACCAUCACACCAGGAAAGCUGAUUCUUUUUGUCUGUUUCUGAUAAUAAGACGUCGUGUUCAGCUGUCUUUAUCAUGCAGUGUAGUAAACAUGUUUCAGUGUGAAUGUUAGAAAGAUGAGAUUUUACUGUGAAGCUUUUUUAUACCAAGGGAAUCAUAAACACUUCAGUGAUGUAAAUAAUUCUCUCAGAAGCUGGAAACUCCAAGCAAAACUCACUGAACCAUAAAUAACUGUAGAUUACAAUAUGAUGAGAAAUGAGGGCUGAAAUGUGAGGAGGUUUCAGACUGUGCAGACUUAUGGACGUAUCAUAGAUUUGGAUUAAAUGUGGUUUAUGAAAAGUUCAUGACUGGUUUGUAGGUUUCCCCUCAUUGGCUGUCUGACCUGCUGACUUACACAGGUCAGCUUCACUGUUUGAUUCUGACAGCUGAGCUCACACAGGCUCUGUCAUCUGCUGUGUUUUGUUAGAAAUACUUUGACUCACAGAAAAAGCUGCUCAGCUCUUGUUCUGGACACAUUUGGGAGAGAAGCUGCCUCUGUGUGUAACAGCGCCCCCUGCUGCUCAUGAUGAUAAAUGUGCAGAUGCUGAUUCUUGCAGUGGCUGUUGAUCCAACUGGAAGUGCUGUGGUUACAGGUCCAGCUUCCUCCUGUGAAACCUGCACUAGUGGGCUGCUGUUACAGACCACCAAGUCCUGAUAUCCUGUAUCUCCAGGCCACAUGUACAAUGCUGCAGUCAGUCACUGGAGACCUUAAUAUUGACUGGUUCUCACAUACCUGUAUUUAGCCACGUCCCUGCUCAAGACGAUUUUGUGUGAUCAACUCGACCGUAAUAACAGAAAAAUGCUUUUGAAGAAGGAGUCGGAGGAUCAUCAUCCUCCUGCACUGACUAAAACUGAAGCACUGUUUGUUAACUGCAGUGAGAACUCUGACAUUUCUAAAGUGAAGUUUAUUUAUAUAGAAGAAAGUGUUAACAAGCUUAAAAGUUGAUGUGAGCAGUAAAUAAAAGGGUUAAACACACAGUGUCGCUCUCAAACUGCUCCUCUUCCUGGAGUGAAGCACAGCCUCUUCUUCCUGCUCUUAAACACAGCACCUCCUCUCUGUCCACGUGUUUCCUCGUUCCCUCCCCUUCAGAUCUGCACUUUGAAGAUGGGUGUAACCAACAUGUGGUGACGUGUAAGAGCUGACAGGCUCCAUUCACUGCAGAAACACAUGUUGUUGAGAUCAGAGCUCAGACUAGUUUCAGUUUUAAGGAAGAGAAACUCGCACAGU
rnacentral:lncRNA from 1 species